rnacentral:rRNA from 1 species
UGGGGAAUUUUGGACAAUGGGCGCAAGCCUGAUCCAGCCAUGCCGCGUGCAGGAUGAAGGCCUUCGGGUUGUAAACUGCUUUUGUACGGAACGAAAAGACUCCUUCUAAUAAAGGGGGUCCAUGACGGUACCGUAAGAAUAAGCACCGGCUAACUACGUGCCAGCAGCCGCGGUAAUACGUAGGGUGUGAGCGUUAAUCGGAAUUACUGGGCGUAAAGCGUGCGCAGGCGGUUAUAUAAGACAGGUGUGAAAUCCCCGGGCUCAACCUGGGAACUGCAUUUGUGACUGUAUAGCUAGAGUACGGCAGAGGGGGAUGGAAUUCCGCGUGUAGCAGUGAAAUGCGUAGAUAUGCGGAGGAACACCGAUGGCGAAGGCAAUCCCCUGGGCCUGUACUGACGCUCAUGCACGAAAGCGUGGGGAGCAAACA